rnacentral:rRNA from 1 species
CCUACGGGUGGCAGCAGUGGAGAAUCAUGCACAAUGGGGGAAACCCUGAUGGAGCGACGCCGCGUGGGGGAAGGAAGGUCUGCGGAUGGUAAACUCCUUUCAUGGGGGAGCAAAUGAAAAAGAUAGUACCACAAGAGGAAGAGACGGCGAACCCUGCGCCAGCAGCCGCGGUAAGACAGAGGUCGCAAUCGUUAUUCGGAAUUACUGGGGGUAAAGUGAGCGGAGGCUUUUUCGUAAGUCGUGAGUGAAAGGCCGGGGCUCAACCCCCGGACGGCACUUGAUACUGCGAGACUAGAGUGAUGGAGGGGGAAGUGGAAUUCUCGGUGUAGCGGUGAAAUGCGUAGAUAUCGGGAGGAACACUAGUGGCGAAGGCGGGUUCCUGGACAUUAACUGACGCUGAGGCACGAAGGCCAGGGGAGCGAAAAGGAUUAGAUACCCGUGUAGUC